rnacentral:rRNA from 1 species
CCCUGGGAGCACUUGUGGUUCGAUCAUGGCUCAGAUUGAACGCUGGCGGGAUGCUUACACAUGCAAUGAACGGCAUCACGGUCUGGUGGCGAGUGGCGAACGUAAGUGAGUAAUGUAUCGGAACGCCUAGUAGCGGGGGAUAACUACGCGAAAGUUAGAAGCAUUACCACACCCUUCAAAAGCGGGGGGACCUUCGGGCCUCGCACUAUUAGAGCGGCCGAUAUCGGAUUAGCUAGUUGGUGGGGUAACGGCUCACCAAGGCGACGAUCCGCAGUUGGUUUGAGGACGACCAGCCACACUGGGACUGAGACACGGCCCAGACUCCUACGGGAGGCACAGUGGGGAAUUUUGGACAAUGGGGAAACCCCGAUCCAGCCAUCCCGGGCGUGUGCGAUGAAGGCCUUCGGGUUGUAAAGCACUUUUGCAGUGAGAAGAAACGGCAUCGAUAAUACCCCGUGCAAUCGACGGUACCUGCAGAAUAAGCACUGGCAACGCUGCGCCAGUGCCGCAGGCUACGUAGGGUGCAAAAGGGGUUAAUCGGAAAUUCGCCAAUAAGGUAAAGGUGCGCAGGCGGUUCGGAAAAAGAAAGAUGUGAAAUCCCAGAGCUUAACUUUGGAACUGCAUUUUUAACUACCGAGCUAGAGUGUGUCAGAGGAGGUGGAAUUCCGCGUGUAGCAGGAAUGCGUAGAUAUGCGGAGGAACACCGAUGGCGAAGGCAGCCUCCUGGGAUAACACUGACGCUCAUGCACGAAAGCGUGGGGAGCAAACAGGAUUAGAUACCCUGGUAGUCCACGCCCUAAACGAUGUCAACUAGCUGUUGGGGCUUCCUGGGCCUCGGUAGCAGCUAACGCGUGAAGUUGACCGCCUGGGGAGUACGGUCGCAAGAUUAAAAACUCAAAGGAAUUGAUUUGGGACUCGCACAAGCGGUGGAUGAUGUGGAUUAAUUCGGAUGCAACGCGAAAACCCACCUACCCUUGACAUGUCUGGAAUCCCGAAGAGAUUUGGGAGUGCUCGCAAGAGAACCGGAACACAGGUGUUGUAUGGCUGUCGUCAGCUCGUGUCGUGAGAUGCUGGGUUAAGUCCCGGCAACGAGCGCAACCCUUGUCAUUGCUGCUACGAAAGGGCACUCUAUCGAGACUGCCGGUGACAAACCGGAGGAAGGUGGGGAUGACGUGCUUGAGUCCUCGGCGGCUCUUAUGGGUAGGCCUUCACAUCGUCAUACAAUGGUCGGGACAGAGUGGUCGCCAACCUGCGAGGGGGAGCCAAUCCCAGAAACCCGAUCGUAGUCCGGAUCGCAGUCUGCAACUCGACUGCGUGAAGUCGGAAUCGCUAGUAAUCGCGGAUCGUGAUGUCGCGGUGAAUACGUUCCCGGUCUUGUACACACCGCCCGUCACAUGGGAGUGGGUUUUACCAGAAGUAGUUAGCCUAACCGUAAGGAGGGCGAUUACCACGGUAGGAUUCAUGACUGGGGUGAAGUCGUGUAACAAGGUAG